GACAGAGGGGGCAAGCGUUGCUCGGAAUCACUGGGCGUAAAGGGCGCGUAGGCGGGAUGGCAAGUCGGUCGUGAAAUCCUUCGGCUCAACCGAAGAACGUCGGCCGAUACUGCCGUUCUUGAGGGAUGCAGAGGAGAUUGGAAUUCCCGGUGUAGCGGUGAAAUGUGUAGAGAUCGGGAGGAACACCGGUGGCGAAGGCGGCCCCCUGGUCGGAUACUGACGCUGAGACGCGAAAGCUAGGGGAGCAAACGGG
rnacentral:rRNA from 1 species